CAACCCUCAAGCCCUGCUUGGUGUUGGGGCCCUACGGCUGCCGUAGGCCCUGAAAGGAAGUGGCGGGCUCGCUGCAACUCCGAGCGCAGUAAUUCGUUAUCUCGCUAGGGAAGUGCGGCGGGCUCCUGCCGUCAAAAGCCCAACGUAACAAGG
rnacentral:misc_RNA from 1 species